GAGCUCAAGACUCAGUGAUGAAAGCAGAGUGUCUCGUUCCUCAAGGGUUGACUUAACGAGCUCCAGACUGAGUGAUGACAGCCGGGUGUCUCGUGCCUCCAGAUUAGACCUGCAGCCGGCCUCUUAUGCUUCCUCUGACUUGUACAGCCUCAAU